rnacentral:rRNA from 1 species
GGGUUGUGAGGUUAAGCGACUAAGCGUACACGGUGGAUGCCCUGGCAGUCAGAGGCGAUGAAGGACGUGCUAAUCUGCGAUAAGCGUCGGUAAGGUGAUAUGAACCGUUAUAACCGGCGAUUUCCGAAUGGGGAAACCCAGUGUGAUUCGUCACACUAUCAUUAACUGAAUCCAUAGGUUAAUGAGGCGAACCGGGGGAACUGAAACAUCUAAGUACCCCGAGGAAAAGAAAUCAACCGAGAUUCCCCCAGUAGCGGCGAGCGAACGGGGAGCAGCCCAGAGCCUGAAUCAGUGUGUGUGUUAGUGGAAGCGUCUGGAAAGGCGCGCGAUACAGGGUGACAGCCCCGUACACAAAAAUGCACAUGCUGUGAGCUCGAUGAGUAGGGCGGGACACGUGGUAUCCUGUCUGAAUAUGGGGGGACCAUCCUCCAAGGCUAAAUACUCCUGACUGACCGAUAGUGAACCAGUACCGUGAGGGAAAGGCGAAAAGAACCCCGGCGAGGGGAGUGAAAAAGAACCUGAAACCGUGUACGUACAAGCAGUGGGAGCACGCUUAGGCGUGUGACUGCGUACCUUUUGUAUAAUGGGUCAGCGACUUAUAUUCUGUAGCAAGGUUAACCGAAUAGGGGAGCCGAAGGGAAACCGAGUCUUAACUGGGCGUUAAGUUGCAGGGUAUAGACCCGAAACCCGGUGAUCUAGCCAUGGGCAGGUUGAAGGUUGGGUAACACUAACUGGAGGACCGAACCGACUAAUGUUGAAAAAUUAGCGGAUGACUUGUGGCUGGGGGUGAAAGGCCAAUCAAACCGGGAGAUAGCUGGUUCUCCCCGAAAGCUAUUUAGGUAGCGCCUCGUGAAUUCAUCUCCGGGGGUAGAGCACUGUUUCGGCAAGGGGGUCAUCCCGACUUACCAACCCGAUGCAAACUGCGAAUACCGGAGAAUGUUAUCACGGGAGACACACGGCGGGUGCUAACGUCCGUCGUGAAGAGGGAAACAACCCAGACCGCCAGCUAAGGUCCCAAAGUCAUGGUUAAGUGGGAAACGAUGUGGGAAGGCCCAGACAGCCAGGAUGUUGGCUUAGAAGCAGCCAUCAUUUAAAGAAAGCGUAAUAGCUCACUGGUCGAGUCGGCCUGCGCGGAAGAUGUAACGGGGCUAAACCAUGCACCGAAGCUGCGGCAGCGACGCUUAUGCGUUGUUGGGUAGGGGAGCGUUCUGUAAGCCUGCGAAGGUGUGCUGUGAGGCAUGCUGGAGGUAUCAGAAGUGCGAAUGCUGACAUAAGUAACGAUAAAGCGGGUGAAAAGCCCGCUCGCCGGAAGACCAAGGGUUCCUGUCCAACGUUAAUCGGGGCAGGGUGAGUCGACCCCUAAGGCGAGGCCGAAAGGCGUAGUCGAUGGGAAACAGGUUAAUAUUCCUGUACUUGGUGUUACUGCGAAGGGGGACGGAGAAGGCUAUGUUGGCCGGGCGACGGUUGUCCCGGUUUAAGCGUGUAGGCUGGUUUUCCAGGCAAAUCCGGAAAAUCAAGGCUGAGGCGUGAUGACGAGGCACUACGGUGCUGAAGCAACAAAUGCCCUGCUUCCAGGAAAAGCCUCUAAGCAUCAGGUAACAUCAAAUCGUACCCCAAACCGACACAGGUGGUCAGGUAGAGAAUACCAAGGCGCUUGAGAGAACUCGGGUGAAGGAACUAGGCAAAAUGGUGCCGUAACUUCGGGAGAAGGCACGCUGAUAUGUAGGUGAAGCGACUUGCUCGUGGAGCUGAAAUCAGUCGAAGAUACCAGCUGGCUGCAACUGUUUAUUAAAAACACAGCACUGUGCAAACACGAAAGUGGACGUAUACGGUGUGACGCCUGCCCGGUGCCGGAAGGUUAAUUGAUGGGGUCAGCGCAAGCGAAGCUCUUGAUCGAAGCCCCGGUAAACGGCGGCCGUAACUAUAACGGUCCUAAGGUAGCGAAAUUCCUUGUCGGGUAAGUUCCGACCUGCACGAAUGGCGUAAUGAUGGCCAGGCUGUCUCCACCCGAGACUCAGUGAAAUUGAACUCGCUGUGAAGAUGCAGUGUACCCGCGGCAAGACGGAAAGACCCCGUGAACCUUUACUAUAGCUUGACACUGAACAUUGAGCCUUGAUGUGUAGGAUAGGUGGGAGGCUUUGAAGUGUGGACGCCAGUCUGCAUGGAGCCGACCUUGAAAUACCACCCUUUAAUGUUUGAUGUUCUAACGUUGACCCGUAAUCCGGGUUGCGGACAGUGUCUGGUGGGUAGUUUGACUGGGGCGGUCUCCUCCUAAAGAGUAACGGAGGAGCACGAAGGUUGGCUAAUCCUGGUCGGACAUCAGGAGGUUAGUGCAAUGGCAUAAGCCAGCUUGACUGCGAGCGUGACGGCGCGAGCAGGUGCGAAAGCAGGUCAUAGUGAUCCGGUGGUUCUGAAUGGAAGGGCCAUCGCUCAACGGAUAAAAGGUACUCCGGGGAUAACAGGCUGAUACCGCCCAAGAGUUCAUAUCGACGGCGGUGUUUGGCACCUCGAUGUCGGCUCAUCACAUCCUGGGGCUGAAGUAGGUCCCAAGGGUAUGGCUGUUCGCCAUUUAAAGUGGUACGCGAGCUGGGUUUAGAACGUCGUGAGACAGUUCGGUCCCUAUCUGCCGUGGGCGCUGGAGAACUGAGGGGGGCUGCUCCUAGUACGAGAGGACCGGAGUGGACGCAUCACUGGUGUUCGGGUUGUCAUGCCAAUGGCACUGCCCGGUAGCUAAAUGCGGAAGAGAUAAGUGCUGAAAGCAUCUAAGCACGAAACUUGCCCCGAGAUGAGUUCUCCCUGACUCCUUGAGAGUCCUGAAGGAACGUUGAAGACGACGACGUUGAUAGGCCGGGUGUGUAAGCGCAGCGAUGCGUUGAGCUAACCGGUACUAAUGAACCGUGAGGCUUAACCUUACAACGCCGAAGCUGUU